UACCAGCACCCCGAGUGGUCGGGACGAUUAUUGGGCCUAAAGCAUCCGUAGCCGGUUCUACAGGUCUUCCGUUAAAUCCACCUGCUUAACAGAUGGGCUGCGGAGGAUACUAUGGAGCUAGGAGGCGGGAGAGGCAAGCGGUACUUAGUGGGUAGGGGUAAAAUCCGUUGAUCCAUUGAAGACCACCAGUGGCGAAGGCGGCUUGCCAGAACGCACUCGACGGUGAGGGAUGAAAGCUGGGGGGAGCAAACCGGG
rnacentral:rRNA from 1 species